rnacentral:rRNA from 1 species
GAUGAACGCUGGCGGCGUGCUUAACACAUGCAAGUCGAACGGUGAACGAGGGAGCUUGCUCCCUCCGGAUCAGUGGCGAACGGGUGAGUAACACGUGAGCAAUCUGCCCUGGACUCUGGGAUAAGCGUUGGAAACGACGUCUAAUACCGGAUACGAGGCGUGGGGGCAUCCCCAACGCCUGGAAAGAACUUCGGUCCAGGAUGAGCUCGCGGCCUAUCAGGUAGUUGGUGAGGUAAUGGCUCACCAAGCCUACGACGGGUAGCCGGCCUGAGAGGGUGACCGGCCACACUGGGACUGAGACACGGCCCAGACUCCUACGGGAGGCAGCAGUGGGGAAUAUUGCACAAUGGGCGAAAGCCUGAUGCAGCAACGCCGCGUGAGGGACGACGGCCUUCGGGUUGUAAACCUCUUUUAGCAGGGAAGAAGCGAAAGUGACGGUACCUGCAGAAAAAGCACCGGCUAACUACGUGCCAGCCGCCGCAGUAAAAC